rnacentral:sRNA from 1 species
GUUUGCACUCAUCGGGGAAGGGUGAGAACCUUCGACUAAGGUUCGAUUCGAGCGAAAGCGAGAGAACGUUGCCACAGGCAACGGCCCGAAGGGUGAGGAACGAAGCGACGAAUAAUCCUUCCCCCACCACCA